AACUGCGAAUGGCUCAUUAAAUCAGUUAUCGUUUAUUUGAUAGUACCCUACUACAUGGAUACCUGUGGUAAUUCUAGAGCUAAUACAUGCGCAAAACCCCGACUUCGGAAGGGGUGUAUUUAUUAGAUAAAAAACCAAUGCCCUUCGGGGCUCCUUGGUGAUUCAUAAUAACUUCACGAAUCGCAUGGCCUUGCGCCGGCGAUGGUUCAUUCAAAUUUCUGCCCUAUCAACUUUCGAUGGUAGGAUAGUGGCCUACCAUGGUGGCAACGGGUAACGGGGAAUUAGGGUUCGAUUCCGGAGAGGGAGCCUGAGAAACGGCUACCACAUCCAAGGAAGGCAGCAGGCGCGCAAAUUACCCAAUCCCGAUACGGGGAGGUAGUGACAAUAAAUACUGAUACAGGGCUCUUUUGGGUCUUGUAAUUGGAAUGAGAACAAUCUAAACACCUUAACGAGGAACAAUUGGAGGGCAAGUCUGGUGCCAGCAGCCGCGGUAAUUCCAGCUCCAAUAGCGUAUAUUAAAGUUGUUGCAGUUAAAAAGCUCGUAGUUGAACCUUGGGCCCGUCCUGCCGGUCCGCCUCACCGCGAGUACUGGUCCGGAUGGGCCUUUCUUUCUGGGGAAUCCCAUGGCCUUCACUGGCUGUGGUGGGGAACCAGGACUUUUACUGUGAAAAAAUUAGAGUGUUCAAAGCAGGCCUUUGCUCGGAUACAUUAGCAUGGAAUAAUAGAAUAGGACGUGCGGUUCUAUUUUGUUGGUUUCUAGGACCGCCGUAAUGAUUAAUAGGGAUAGUCGGGGGCGUCAGUAUUCAGCUGUCAGAGGUGAAAUUCUUGGAUUUGCUGAAGACUAACUACUGCGAAAGCAUUCGCCAAGGAUGUUUUCAUUAAUCAGGGAACGAAAGUUAGGGGAUCGAAGACGAUCAGAUACCGUCGUAGUCUUAACCAUAAACUAUGCCGACUAGGGAUCGGGCGGGGUUUCUAUGAUGACCCGCUCGGCACCUUACGAGAAAUCAAAGUUU
rnacentral:rRNA from 1 species